GACGAACGCUGGCGGCGUGCCUAAUACAUGCAAGUAGAACGCACAGUUUAUACCGUAGCUUGCUACACCAUAGACUGUGAGUUGCGAACGGGUGAGUAACGCGUAGGUAACCUGCCUAGUAGCGGGGGAUAACUAUUGGAAACGAUAGCUAAUACCGCAUAAUAUUGAUUAUUGCAUGAUAAUUGAUUGAAAGAUGCUAUUGCAUCACUACCAGAUGGACCUGCGUUGUAUUAGCUAGUAGGUGAGGUAACGGCUCACCUAGGCGACGAUACAUAGCCGACCUGAGAGGGUGAUCGGCCACACUGGGACUGAGACACGGCCCAGACUCCUACGGGAGGCAGCAGUAGGGAAUCUUCGGCAAUGGACGAAAGUCUGACCGAGCAACGCCGCGUGAGUGAAGAAGGUUUUCGGAUCGUAAAGCUCUGUUGUAAGAGAAGAACGGGUGUGAGAGUGGAAAGUUCACACUGUGACGGUAUCUUACCAGAAAGGGACGGCUAACUACGUG
rnacentral:rRNA from 1 species